AUUGAACGCUGGCGGCAUGCCUUACACAUGCAAGUCGAACGUGAAAGCGGGGCAACCCGCAAGUAGAGUGGCGGACGGGUGAGUAAUACAUCGGAACGUGUCCAGUAAUGGGGGAUAACCUAGCGAAAGUUAGGCUAAUACCGCAUACGAUCUGCGGAUGAAAGCGGGGGAGUGCGGCACUAAAGGCUUUUGGCGAAGGUGGUCGAAAGGCGAGUCAAGAGCUUUUAGUGCNGCACCUCGCGUUAUUGGAGCGGCUGAUGUCUGAUUAGCUAGUUGGUGAGGUAAAGGCUUACCAAGGCGACGAUCAGUAGCUGGUCU
rnacentral:rRNA from 1 species